rnacentral:rRNA from 1 species
GUAGGUGGCAAGCGUUGUCCGGAAUUAUUGGGGCGUAAAGCGCGCGCAGGCGGUUCUCUAAGUCUGAUGUGAAAGCCCACGGGCUCAACCGUGGAGGGUCAUUGGAAACUGGAGAACUUGAGUACAGAAGAGGAAAGCGGAAUUCCACGUGUAGCGGUGAAAUGCGUAGAGAUGUGGAGGAACACCAGUGGCGAAGGCGGCUUUCUGGUCUGUAACUGACGCUGAGGCGCGAAAGCGUGGGGAGCGAACAGGAUUAGAUACCCUGGUGGUCCACGCCGUAAACGAUGAGUGCUAAGUGUUAGGGGGUUUCCGCCCCUUAGUGCUGCAGCUAACGCAUUAAGCACUCCGCCUGGGGAGUACGGCCGCAAGGCUG